GACGGAGGGUGCUAGCGUUGUUCGGAAUUGUUGGGCGUAAAGAGCUCGUAGGCGGUUUGUUGCGUCGGCUGUGAAAUCCCGAGGCUCAACCUCGGGUCUGCAGUCGAUACGAGCAAACUAGAGUGUUGCAGGGGAGACUGGAAUUCCUGGUGUAGCGGUGAAAUGCGCAGAUAUCAGGAGGAACACCGGUGGCGAAGGCGGGUCUCUGGGCAACAACUGACGCUGAGGAGCGAAAGCGUGGGGAGCGAACAGG
rnacentral:rRNA from 1 species